rnacentral:rRNA from 1 species
UUAGAGUUUGAUCCUGGCUCAGGACGAACGCUGGCGGCAUGCCUAAUACAUGCAAGUCGAACGCUGAAGCACUCUGCUUGCAGAGUGCGGAUGAGUGGCGAACGGGUGAGUAACACGUGGGAAAUCUGCCUAGGAGUGGGGGAUAACAUUCGGAAACGGAUGCUAAUACCGCAUAUCUUUUUGAACCGCAUGGUUCUUAAACGAAAGACGGCUUCGGCUGUCGCUCUUAGAUGAUCCCGCGGCGUAUUAGCUAGUUGGUGAGGUAACGGCUCACCAAGGCGACGAUGCGUAGCCGACCUGAGAGGGUGAUCGGCCACAUUGGGACUGAGACACGGCCCAGACUCCUACGGGAGGCAGCAGUGGGGAAUAUUGCACAAUGGGGGAAACCCUGAUGCAGCAACGCCGCGUGAGUGAUGACGGCCUUCGGGUUGUAAAGCUCUGUCUUCAGGGACGAUAAUGACGGUACCUGAGGAGGAAGCCACGGCUAACUACGUGCCAGCAGCCGCGGUAAUACGUAGGUGGCGAGCGUUGUCCGGAUUUACUGGGCGUAAAGGGAGCGUAGGCGGAUUUUUAAGUGAGAUGUGAAAUACUCGGGCUUAACCUGAGUGCUGCAUUUCAAACUGGAAGUCUAGAGUGCAGGAGAGGAGAAGGGAAUUCCUAGUGUAGCGGUGAAAUGCGUAGAGAUUAAGAAGAACACCAGGGGCAAAGGCCCUUCUCUGGACUGUAACUGACGCUGAGGUUCAAAAGCGUGGGGGAACAAACAGGGAUUAAAACCCCUGGGUAGCCCCCCCCCCGAAAACCGAUGA